GCCCCUUUUCAUAAACUGAGGUGAAUUCACAGGAUAUAUUCAUAAAAUGCCACAGAAUGAGUAUGAUACAUCAGGAAGGCUGGCUAAUCCUGUUUCUUUGUCAGUGAGAAUAAACAUGUGAUACAUUGCAUUUUCUAUAGACAGUGUGACUUCUGAAGACCCCAUCUUUGUUUUGAUUAUCAAAAGAUUCCAAAUCCAUUUAGUCUCUAUCUUUGCGAAGCACUUAUGCAGCUCACAUCCUAUCUAUGCAUAUUGUGUUAAGUCACAUUACGUGUCCCCUCUCUAUGCAGCUAUGCCCUCUCGGUGCAAUGAAGACU
rnacentral:misc_RNA from 1 species